CGGGGCUUCCUCUUCCUGCUUGUCCUCGGCGCAGAUGGAGUCCAAAGAGCGGCGGGGGCGAGUCGAGAAGAACCUGCAAGCGUUGUUCAUCUUUCAGGAGGCGAGGACGGUUGUCAAGUGUCUGUCCCGUGUCUUCGAGGCGGAGCCCCAGCCGGCCGCCCUGCCCUCCGGGGACCCCUUCGUCCCGGCGCUGCACUACGCGCUCUUCAAGCUGCGGCCCAACCCGGGCAAGGACCCGAGCCUGGGGGUGGAGCGGCAGGCCGCCGACUACCUGACCCGCAUGGACGCGGGCACGGUGCGGCCGUUCGUCCUCCCCGAGUACUAGAACAACGUGGACGACAGGACCAACUCGCUCCUGGUGCACCGACCCAAGUGCAACAUGGACGCCGCGCUGCGCUCGUACGUGCACAACCCCGGCAACUACGUCUUACCUCUGAGCAAGGCCAAGGAGGUCGUCGACAGGAUACGGAACCCCGCGCCGGCUCCGCCCCCGGCCCUGCCCUCGGCCCCGCCCCCGGUGGAGUACAGCCCCGUGUCCGACUGGGGCGGCUCGGACCGCGGCUCGGACCGCGCCGAGAGGCCCCCCAAGGAGAGGGCGGCGGCGGAGAAGCAGGGGGCGGCCCAUUUCAACGGGGCCCAGGCGCAGCCCGAGGCCCCCGCGGCGGAGCCCCAACCGCUGCCGCCGCUCACCCCCCCCCACAGGCUGCGCCUGUCCCAGAACGAGUACGACGAAGACAAGAUGAAGCAGCUGCUGAAGCUGAUCUAGCUCCAUAAGAAGGCCAUCGUGAUAGAGCCGGAUGUCAGCUUUCUGAUGAGGAAGUUCGAGGGAGACGACCGGGGGGGCGCCCACAAGCAUCAUUGCACGGAUCAGCUGAGCAACGGGGAGUCUAGCAGAGGACCCCAAUCGGAGGAGGUGGGGGACGAGGGCGUUCCCGGCGACAACCUGACG
ensembl:lncRNA